ACGCUCGAACUUCCCGCCCUUGGAGCGGACGUAGGGUUUGGUGUGGCUGUGCGGGGUUCCUGGGGCCUCAGCUGGCCCGUCGGCCUCUGGCACGCUCGAACUUCCGGCCCUUGGAGCGGACGUAGGGUUUGGUGUGGCUGUGCGGGUUCCUGGGGCCUUGCCGAAAUGCCGGUACACCUCUCGGCCCUUGUGAGGACCGGAGAGCAGGACAGUGCCGCAGCCCUUGGGGGAGUCCAGGGCCAGCUGGUCGAAAGUGAGGAUCUUGCCCCCUGCUCUGAGAUGCGGCUGCGGGCCCGGCUGGUUACGCGCAGUGCACAUACCUUCAGUUUGGACACCUCCUGAAUCCGCACGUCGUCCGUUACGGUCCCCACAACCACGGCCGUUUUGUUUUCCCGGCCAGGAAGCUUCAUCUUCCGGAUCAUCCGGGAAAGGAACAGAGGCGGCCGGUUGGUGCGACUCAUAAACAACCUCUUCAGCACAACCUGGUUGAAUAUGGAAUUGGUUCUUCUGGCCAGAAACCUAUACAACUUUACCAACAGCCUCAGAAUAGAAUGUGCAUACCUCAAUGUCCUUGGCUGCAAAACUUAGAUAAUGAGUUUCCGGUGGAAGAGAAGAAGUGUGGUAUGGAGAGGAAGGGUUACAAAUCAUUCCCCAGCUGAAAAAAGGUAGGCAUUUUUACUCUAAGCCAGGAAAUAAUAUAACUCAUGAUCACUUUGUUCUUGUCCACAUGAAGUUAAGAAAUGAUUAUGUAAAGGAAUAAAACAUGGUCUGUGUUCUAGUUGUUUGGUUGGGUUUUAUUGCCAUUUCUAAUAAAAGAUUUCAGCUAAAGCAUUAGAUCAGUAGCGUUUGAUUUCUAAACUUAGGUAGAAAUCCAGUUUUGUUCUUUGGUUCUUUUUCCGUGCAUUCCUGGAAUUCAUGAGUUUUGCCCUGAACUUUCUGGAAGCAAGGGCUGAAGUCUGGACAUGACUUUUCAAUUAAUACAACCGUGGUCUCUGGUUCUCCUCGAUGUUAGCAUGUGACAUGACUGGAGGCCUUUAUUUUGCUUAGUGCAGUGACCAAGCAAAUGAGUGCAUGCUCCUGAAUAUUUGACAAGCGUGACAGCAUAUGUGGCUGGAGCUGCAGCUGGCUACGCUUAGCUUUUUCAUCUAGGUGCUUUCUUGACUGAUAAAGCAUGUUUUACCCCAUUAGACUGGAUUUUGUCAGGUCACAUCAGGAAUGCAAUUGUGCUUUUGGAUUUCAGGCAGGGAAAAAUAGUUACACACAAGACCAGCUGUAUAAUUUGCAGGGCUUGUGCUGGCCUUGUGUGCAACUAUUCAAACAUUAUUAAGAAUUUCAAGGAACCAUCAGCAGAGCCCUUUUAAGAUUGGAGACUUGUGUAGCACACAUAAGAAAUUGAAUCUGGUCAUGGAGCACAUAGUAUCCAGCUGGAAAAGAACAGGUUAAUCUUUGUGGUGCUUUUAAAAUGGGGGGAAAUAACAGCCGAGAGUUUAACUCAGUUUAGUUGCAGAAUUAUAGAUGACAAGCAAUGUGUCCAGUGAUCCAAGACGGCCCAGGUGAGAGUAGUGAGAAAAUGUCUCGGGUCUCCUGAGAUUAUUUUGACUAAGUUCAUGAGCAUGUUCCCUAAUCUAUGUAGGUUAGACAGAGCAAGGUCAGCAGUUACCUGGUAGUAAAUUAAAGCCCGGGUAGCAAGUAAAUACAAAGGCAAGAUCAAAGCAAAGGCCCCGAGGGAGAGGACCUGUCUGAAAAGCAGAGGGAAAGUAUAUUCUUUUCAACCACCUCUUUCUCCUGCUUCCAGCCCCUUCAGCAGUUUUCCUUAGAGAGAAAAAAAUGUUAACAGCCAAACAAAAGACCCGAAGCAGAUUUUUUUUCAUAGCCUGUGAGCUGAUCUUGAACUUUCCAGGGGUUUGUGCUUCACAGAAAAAACAUUUAGGCAUUUCCUCCAUGUUUUUGUAUCUGGAAAGGGAGGCCUCUCUUUCCAAGUGUUGACUGACAUCUUAGAGCUUAUUUCUUUCCAGUUAAAGUGGAAAAUAUCAACUAAGAUUUCAAAGAAAAGGAAAUGUAAUGUAUUUUCUCAUCAAAUUUGGCAUUAUCUAUUUGCCAGGCAGGCCUUUCAUCUUCAGUGCAGUAUUUUUCCAUUGUAUAAUUCUGAGUUUGCCUUAAAUCUGUCUCUUUCAACUUCGCCUUUCUAAAAUACGAAUGUGAUUUACACAACUUAUCUUCUUUUCUCAUUUGUUUCCUCGAUACUUUUGAUUAUCACUUGCUAGGGUUUCUCUAGAGAAGCUCACUAUUUUUCUCUGCAAAUAUUGAAUGUAACACAGAUAACGCUUCUUUGUUAGUGUGAAUUCAUUAAUGACCUUGAUAAAAAGAACUUUCCAUGUCUAGCAUGGGGGGACUAAAAUGAUUUGGGGCCUGUUGAUAUGAACAUAUAAAUAAGAAAAGUACAAUAAUAGGCCUUAAAAAUCUCAUUAAGUUUUUAAAUGGGAAGGAAAGCCAGUCCCUUCUGUUCCAGGAUCUGGCAGUACAGAGAAGUGUCUUAUACUAUCCUUCUCUCCAAGAACCUAAAAACAGACAUGGGAUUAAUCUCUAGAAGUUAAACUUCAAAACCAGUACAUUAUUACACAGGUCACAACAGAGAUGUAUAGAGGCAAGGAAAGGGAAAGACUCUAUGGCUUAGAAGACUGAACUGUAGCCUGAUGGAAUGUAUUAGAAAAGCUUAUGCCAGCCGGACGGGUGAGCAAAGCAAACAGAAAAUUCACAGAAGUAAAUAUUGGCAGGGUUCUAUAAAAUGCUAUCCAGGGGAAACAAAACUUUUGUAGAGGGACUUUAAGCACUCCUGGCUCCCAGACAAGGCCAUGCUGGUUGUUGAGAUGACUAUGUUAUGUUUUCUUAGAUUGAUUUCAUGGAACAUUCAGAUGAUUUAUUAACAAUGCUUGUUAAUAUUCUAUGAUCAUCAAUCACCCUAAUGAAUUUUUUUUUUACUAACUUUGAAUGAGGAUAGCUCACACUAUUCAUUCCUGAGUAAAAUUUUCAUUUCAGAGGCUGUUUCCUUUUUCCAUGUACAUUAAUAGAUUAAAAUUCUUGUCUUAAACCUAAGAUUGAUGGCUAGAUGAAAUGAGUUGGUCUUAAGAAAAGGACUAGCACUGGGGUGUUGACUUGAGCCUUUGAUACAAUCCCAGACAAUGUGGCACCCUUUGCACAUCUCUUUGGAGGCAGCCAGUCAUGUUCUGUUAGCCAGACAAUGUCAUGUGUCCUCAUUCAGUUUACUAGGAAAUUAUUUCCUCAGUCGUUCCAUCAAACUGAUUUCCAUUUUCUUCUUGACCAAUGUUAAGGCCCUGAGUGUUUUGAGAACACUCUUGGAUGGGUAGCCUGUCCUUUUCUUCCUUUUAGUCCCUAUAUCAUUUUUUUUUUUUCUAUUUCCAAUCCCUAAUUUAGACCUCAUCAUAAAACAAGACUCCUAAGGCUACAACUGGUAGAAUGACCCAGUUAGGUUCCGGGGAUUGUUGUUGUUGUUGUUGUUGUUGGAUACAAUUAACUCACUAUUUAUACAAAUUCAUCUGAAAAAGUUAUGUGCCCAUCAUGACUUUUGAGCUCAUUCUCUUAAUAAAUCUUACCUUUCUCUAUACCUUCUAAAUGUUGCCGUUGUUCCCCUCAGAUGGGUAUCUCCUGGUUUGUCACAUUCUUAAGUCUGCUUUUGCUUCACAAAGUAGGUUUUGAUGUAUAUCUGUUGUCCAUAUCUUUUGAUGACUGAUUUCUGUUCUGUGUAUAAAUUACAUUUCCAGUUUUCCUGCACCUCUCUCAAUAGUGACUCCUUCUAAAGACUGUAUACACAGAGUCUAGGACUCCUAUCUGGUACUUCUUCCUUGGUCUACCUCUUUUUCCCCCUCUCUAUUGUUCCAAUCUCUCUAAACUUUUACAAAUGCCUUUUGAAGCUGGAUAAUUCUUCUUAAUCAUAUCAUACCCUUAUACCGUAAAGGUCAACCAGAGAAGAGCAAGAAGACUUUUGAGAAUCCGAUGAAAUGAAGGCAUUUGAGCACCAACUACUGAUCAAACAACCCAAUCAAUCUAGACAAGGGAAUUUUUAGCUUUUGGUUGCUGUUGGGCAGAACCCAGCAAGGUCAUGGGGGUGUGCAGAUGGCAGACUUUCUGGUGAAAUGGAAAGACACAUAAAGGUGGCACAGCUUCAGGGAGGGAAAGUGUUGUGGGAUAAUUCUGCAUUUCAACAGUCACUCUGAAAACCCUGGGGUUCCCAGUGGAAAAUUACUCUAUGCCAGUUUUGGAGUGACCUAUGUGUGGAGCAGGGUAUAGAUAAGCCACCUGGGGACUGAGCGUGAAAUAGCUGCAUUCAGGAAGCCUCACCCAUGCACCUGUUUUCCAUCCCAAGCAUGUGGGGACGACAUGGUAACAUUACUCUCUGCUUUGGAAAAUAUAGUUUGAUUUGUAGCGUAUUUACUUAAUGUCAGAUUAGGAGCCUGGGAGUAAAUUUUAAUUCAUACGAAUUCUCUAGGGUUACAUGGAUAACAGUGAGUCUUUCUAUUCUUAGGUCAUUUCAUAUUUUCUGAAAAUGAAAAUAACCCCAUAAAAAGGUAGGGCUUUGAUUAAAAAAAAUCUUUAAAAAAUUUCAUCCACAUUCUAUACUCCACCACCCCAACUCUGCUCCUCAUUUAUGGUAUUUUACUUCGGUUUUUGUUGAAGUUAAUCUUGCCAUUGUUAUCUUUCUGUCAGUCGGAAUCCCACGGUGGUAAUGAUGUUGAUGUAUUUUGUUAAACAACAAAAACCUUUUUGUACAUGACACAUAUUUAAAGAAAAAAUGUCACCUUUAAGAAGGUAAAACAAGUUGACAAAUGUUUCUUUAAGUGAAACUAAUUGCAUGGAAUAUUUUAUGACAUUUCCAUGGAAAAUGUUACAGGACAUCCCUAGAGGAUUUCAGGGGAACUUUUAUAGCUAUUUCCUGCUCCAUCAGCAUUUUACAGAAUCUUGUGGAAAGCAGGGGUGGUUGCCGCUGCAUCUGGUUAGUUGUGGGCAUCAGUUUCUGUUGGUCCGUGGAGGAGCCUAACACACAAAUACAUUUGUGAAGAUUGUCCCAAGAUGACGUCAGGAACAACUGUGACCAGGACUGGCUUAAUGAGAUGUUGUCGGGUCAGGUGCAGCAGGGGAAACCUAUUUUUCUUAGUUUCCUUUUGACAUGAAUCACUAAGGUGCUACCUACUUCCUUACCAUUGUCCUUUUGAAAAUCCUCAAGUAUGGUAGAGACUGGCUAUUUUAGCCCUUUUAUUUUAUUAAAAUAUUUUAAAUAUCAUUAAGUGUCAAAACAUUCAGUCCUUACUAUAUUAUAUCAAAGCCAUACUAAUGUAAGGAAUACAAACGAGUGUAAUUGCAAAGCUUGUGCUCCAGAAACUAAUAAUCUGUAGCCAAUCAUGUAGGGUUAUAGCUUUGUUCAUGUCUGUCAACCAUAUUCUGCUUUUAACUUUUAGCUACUGCACUUAAUUCCAUUGCCAUUUCUCUGUGAAGCAAAUGUUAACAAAUAACUAUAAAGCCUUUCAUAUUACCAUUUCAUGAAGAGCACUUUAAGAUCUUCAAUUGAUUGCACAUGGUAAGGUCAUACUUAUGCAACCAUUUUAUAUUAACUAUUUUAUAUUAAAAAAGCCACUUUUCCCUAAUUUACAAAAUGUAAUUUUCCAAACUAUUUUCUACCUACAACAGUGUGAGAAUAAAUAAGACAGAAGAUAUUAUCCUAAUUUUCAUAGAAGAGGAAGAGUGGUUAAAUCACCUGCUUUAGUUCACAGAUUUACUUGUUGAAAGGGUAGACAAUAGAACCGAGGGAUUCAUUUUCCUAAGUCUCGAAUAUUUUCCACUGACUGAGCCAUAUUGAUUCUCUGGAGAAAUUAAUUAAUUGUGUUAAUUUCUCAAGAUAAGGAUACACCAAUGUGUUUUGUGGUGUCUUUAAGCCAUUCAACGUGGGCUAUGGCCCUCCUUGGUUGCUCAUAUGUUGUUUUCCUUGUUUACAUGGUGGUGUGUCUCCAUGAUUCCAAAAUAGCUAAUCAUUUCAAGAUAUCCUUUGAAAAAGUAAAACCAGUAGUGUUUAGUGUCAUGGAGACAAAACAACCGUGGAUUUGACUUUUCUCCAUUUUCAAUCAGUGGUUUUACAGUCAUGGAGAAAUAGACUGUCCUUUUUCAUCUCAUGAGGUGUUUUCCACCCUCCAUUCUCUCUCUCCCUCACUCUCUCUCCCCCUCCUUUUUCUUCUUCUUCUCCCCCUCCAUU